rnacentral:pre_miRNA from 1 species
UUUAUAUUUUCUCCGUCCAACAAAAGAUGACUCAAAUUUGUCAAAUUUUAGAUGCAUCUAGACAUGACUUAGUGUAUAGAUGCAUUCAAAUUUGGUCAAAGUUGAGGCAUCCUUUAUUAGAUAGAAGGAGUAUCAG